CGGGAGCUGUCAUGUUUGUGAUCAUGGGAGUGUUGGAUGUUGAUGAACUAGAGUCACAGGCAAAGAUCCAGUACACACAGUGAGAACUGGUCCGUUUCUGGUUGAAGGAUGAUGGCCAAGAAUAUUUCGAUUUCAUCUUUGACAUAUCAGCAGUUAUGAAAUUCAGACAUUACUCUCAUGAAUUGCAUACUAUUUAACUGUAUUUUCUGAAACUAUUACACCUGUGAACAAUGUGACUUCUAGUCAGUGCUGCUCCUUCCUGAGCCACUAUUAUGUAUAAAGAGUUCAAGUGGGUGAGGGGAAACCUUCCAGGAUUGUCUAAGAUCAGGAAAACCUUCAGCUGCCAACACCACUGAAACUGUUGAUAACAUGAUGUGACCAUAUACAGCAUGUAACAACAUGUAACAAACGCAGGUAUUUGUCAUGUGAGGGUUGAGAAAAUAUUGAGGACUUACAGAAGAAUGACUAAGGCCUCAGUACGAUUGGCUCCACUACUCCUGUAGUCGUAGCAUAUAGAUCAUUGCGUUAUGUUGUAGCGGUGUAUGUACCAUUGCAUAGUGUUGUAAAGGUGCAUAUAGCAUUGUAUAGUGUUGUAAAGGUGUAUAUACCAUUGCAUAGUGUUGUAAGGGUGUAUAUAACACUGUAUAGUGUUGAAAGGGUGUAUAUAGCUUUGUAUAGCGUUGUAAGGGUGUAUAUAGCAUUGUACAGUGUUGUAAAGGUGCAUAUAGCAUUGUAUAGUGUUGUAAAGGUGUAUAUAGCUUUGUAUAGUGUUGUAAAGGUGCAGAUAGCUGUGUAUAGUGUUGUUAGGGUGUAUAUAGCAUUGUAUAGUGUUGUAAAGGUGCAUAUAGCUUUGUAUAGUGUUGUAAAGGUGCUUAUAGCUUUGUAUAGUGUUGUAAAGGUGUAUAUAGCUUUGUAUAGUGUUGUAAGGGUGUAUAUAGCUUUGCAUAGUGUUGUAACAGUCUCUAUAGCUUCGUAUGGUGUUGUAAGGGUGUAUAUAGCAUUGUAUAGUGUUGUAAGGGUGUAUGUAACCUUGUAUAGUGUUGUAAGGGUGUAUAUAGCUUUGUAUAGUGUUGUUAGGGUGUAUAUAGCAUUGUAUAGUGUUGUAAGGGUGUAUGUAGCUUUGUAUGGUGUAAUAAGGAUGUAUGUAGCUUUGUGUGGUGUUGUAAGGGUGUAUGUAGCUUUGUAUAGUUUUAUAAGGGUGUAUGUAGCUUUGCAUGGUGUUGUAAGGGUGUAUGUAGCUUUGUAUGGUGUUGUAAGGGUGUAUGUAGCUUUGUAUAGGGUUGUAAGGGUGUAUAUAGCAUUGUAUAGUGUUAUAAGGGUGUAUAUAGCUUUGUAUAGUUAUGUAAUGGUGUAUAUAACA